UCUCCAACUCCCCAAAAGUCAGGAGUUAUAUUGAUAGGAGACAAACCCCAAAUUUAAAUGGCUACAUUCAGACCACAUUCUUACACAAAUCUGUUGUGUGAGUCCUUGUCCAACUUAAUAGGGCCUCACAAACCUAGCUGAAACCGUAGCACUUAAGCAAAAAAAAUAACAAAACUGACCCAAAACCAAAACCCCCUCUCGAUAGCACCUCACUCUCGACCUCACCUCACUCUCAAGUCUCAACAGACCCAAAACCAAAACCCUCAUUCUCUCUCUAACCAAUCUCAUCUCUCUGCGUGAGAUUGUUGACCGCGAAUGGGAUUGAGCUGGUGAAGUUGUUAGAACUGAGAUCGAGCCGAUUCAGCCUCUCCAGAUCGAGCCAAUUCCCUUGGAGGGAAGCACUAUUGGCGAAAUCUGCGAAGACUCAGAACUCGGAGCUGACUCAGCCGGCAGAGCGUGUUGGGUGGAAUCAGACCCACAAGCCCAACACCGGGAAGGUGAAGCGAGUACACAUACAGCUGGUUCCCGUCGUUGUCAGAGCUCCAGGUUUGAAGAAGCUGAGCUAUGGCGAGAUUACGGGCAUUCAGUUCGAGUACUUGGGAAGAUAAGGGUUCGUGCCUCUGGUCAUUGAAACGGGUCAUUCAGGUAAUCUAGGUUUAGUUGUGUACUUGGUGUUUAUUCAAAAGGACUCAAUUCACACCUCUCCAUUUACCGUAGCUCUGCCUCUCUCUCUCUCUCUUGAUGCCGAGGUCCUUUCUGCGUUAUCUGUGGUAGACUGGUAGGGCUCCAACAUCAUUUUUAGAUUUGUGGCUAGGCUCCUCUAAAUCUUUAUUCGCUUCGCACUCUCUCUAUUAGAGUUGGAUCUAGAGAUAGUUCGCAUUGUUUUCAGAUCUGUGGUAAGCACUUUGUGAAACAUCUUUGUUUGGAUUGGACGUUUUCUAUGUUUCAUGUACUAAAAGCAUAGCUCGCUCGAUUCAGUUGCCUCAAACCCUAGUCUCGCAGCAACUUCUGGAAUAGUGAAACCUUGGAACUCGCCUUAUGCUAAAAUGGGUAUCUCUCGAUGCUCAAGAGACUUGCCACUGGAUACAAGAAUAAGGUGUGGAGAAAGAAGCUAAAGUAUGAUUCUUUCAUUGUUCUUGUGGUUGAUCAAAUAUGCUUCUGCACUUUUCUAAUUUCGUAGCUCCAGGUCUUCUAUUGUCUUUCAUGUCUUGUAAACCUCCUCUAAUUCACAUAUUUCACUAUGACAUAAAAAAUGGAGGACUUUGAGAUUUCAAACCACUGAGCUUCUCUCUAUUUUGCUUCAAUACCAGAAAUCUACUUUCUUUUGGAUGGAUAGGACUGGAAAAGAUCAAAGAUCAGUUACUGCACUCCAAGUGUUUGAUGUUAUGCCUCAAAGACAACACCCAAGCUGAACCAGUGGGCUGUUCCAUGAUUUUCGAAAAAUCUAUACUCCUUGUUUUACUCUCAGUUUUUGACAGCUUAAAGUAGACUCUUCAAUGGUCAUUUUGAGCUUGGUUUCACAAAAAACGGAGUUAAAUUGAGUUACUUGUGCUAUUUUGAAGUUACUGCACUGUUUCAGGAUUUCUGCAGAAUCAGCGUUUCUGUCAAUUUUAGAUUCCUGUUUGACCCUUCAUUUGAACUUCAAUUUUCAUGAAACUUUGCAAAAUAGUAGCUUUGCAUGUCUACUUCAAAUCUGGAAAGUUUUGCUUGAAAUCACUGAAAGACUAAUUGUUGGUGAAAUUUUCUUGCUUGUUACCAGUUUUCUGAAAUUUUCUCAAACUUGCAGCUUAUUGUUGCAAGCAAUUGAUUUGAGAACCUUUACACUUAUUUUUCUGUCCUCGAUCUUUAGUGAGUCAGAUUAGACAUGCAAAGCAUGCCCUGAAACUUGACUUCAUUUGAAAGGUUUAGAAAAGGUUUUGUCUUUGUUCAAAAGUGACUACAAACCAGUGUUUUCUAUGCAUUCUGAUCAGAACAUUCUGAUCAAUGUUUUCUUUUCGGAAUAAGCCCACACAUGGAGAAGCUCUGGCUAUUGCUCAGUGUCUAAUUGAGUGAUUUAUUCUAAGGGAGACAUGUUAUUAGGACUGAUGGUGGGUUACAAGUUCAUAAUAGGUUUUUCAGUUUCUUUAAUCGAACCAAGGCUUUGAAGCUAAUUAUUGUACACAAUCUUUAUGAGCAUGGCUUGUAUUUUUUCUAGUUAUUUAUAGUUGCUGAACCUAUUUAUUUACCUUGGUUUAUUUUUCAUCACCUAUUGUUUUGCAAAGAAUUUGAAUUUUGUUGUCUAAUGAUAUGAACUGUAUG